GGGGGUGAGUGGAACCCUCUCGUCCUGCAAUGACAACAAAGAAAGCUUACUGAUCAUGAAAGUAUAUUAAUGCUUUUGUGUAAGCACAAUAUAAAGGGGUUGCUAUGCUUGUCACGGAGCGGCAUAUUUUCGAGAGAUUUCGAGUGGUUUUGACGCCAAUUAACGGCCGCCAAAAAAAACGUCGUGUCCUCACUGUGCGGCGUAUAAUUUCGAGAAGGCGACAGGCCGAUUAACGGGCGUCAAAAAUGUCGUGGCCCCACGGGGUGGCAUCUCGUUUCGAGACAUCGACACGCCGAUUAACGGACCUAGAGGUGUGCGUCCGUGUGGUGCAUGCAGUGCCGGGGCUCGACCUUGGAGAGAGGGCAAUCUACCAUCCUUCGUCCAUGCUGAAAGGGGCACGGCCAAGACUUUUGGGGGGAGUCAUGAAUUAAUUAGGUGAACUCUGCAUACCGGCAGUUCCCCUACAUAGGGAACUAGAGAAAGGAGAGGCUAUUUAAGUGCACGUUUUGGUCCCAGCUAAUUAGUCUAGAAGCUGAACCUAUGUGCUGCUGAGAAGCCAUCAGGGGGCUAGUGCCGUCCAGUAUCUCCUGGGCUGCCUGGCCACGUCGGAAUUCCGAGGAACUAGUUGACGAACGAGACUACAAACCAACGUCUGCAACGAAGCUCACGGUAGAUCGCCUUAAGUUAGCUCAACCUGCUUAAGAGAAGACGUCAAAUCUAGACUCCCGGGAAAUCCAGCCCAGCAAUUGCAGCCACCUCAGCAAGAUCGGCCCGCCAGCAUUCUUCCGGAAAGCUUCGCGCGCCGACUUCACGGUUUAUGGUCUUGCUGCUGCCCGGCCACGCGUAUGACAUCGUUGUUUUCUUUUGAACAUUAUUUUAGUGAAAUGCUGUUAUGUGUUAUUCUUGUAUAUUUGAUCCGCGCCCUGUUUCAUAUGUAUAUGUAUUGUUAAUUGCUCAUCACAUUUCUCCGUCAUCAUUGUGUUUCAGGGGCGCUAUAACGUAAAAAGAUUCCAAACUGUUUUGAUUCCAAUUUCUGCAAUCAGCCUCCACGAUUGGUCAAAACAUUUUCAAGCCACUCCCAACUUCGCCUGUCUGUCACGUCACGUCACGAAAACCGCGACAGCUCCCCAUCUGAUAUAACGUGUACACACUGAUUAUGCAUGAUUAAACCGCACAAAAGAAAAAUAAUCAUUCCUGAUUCGACGCCUUUUCACCAUUAGCCCUCUGCUAUUAUCCAAUGUUUUCUGGAUACGCCCACUUCGCCUAUCUGUCACGCGACCUCACAAAACUGCGAAAACUCACCACGUCAAAGUGACGUGUAUGCGAAAAAAAAUGAAUUAUGCCGAAUAAAACGGAAAAUUUCUCUUAAUAGCCACAGACUGCCCCAUUCCGAAAGGAAUAAAAGAUGGCUGCCCGCGGAUCACUCAGGCUCUCGCUACUCGUACCUGCCGGUGAGCAUGUAAUUAUUUGCGCAUGAUAAACAUUUUUGUGUAUGAGUAAAACGUUAUCGAGCCUUUUCGCCAUGCAUACAACAUCGCUCUGCCAACUCUUCCUUGCUGAGGAUCCGUUUUAGCGGCAUUCUUAUUCUUCCAUUGCACGCUGCCGCGAUUUUCGACCAGCCACCGCAAGCUAAGUAAGGCGAAGCGGACCAAUCGGAGAAGCUGGCACCACCCUCUUCAUGCGGUUAUCUAUUUUCACUGUGCUGGCUCGGCCCCAUCGAAACCCUCUCCACUAGAGCGUGCUCCUCUUGUCAGCCAAUUAGAUAAGAAAAACCGCUGAGUAUAAGCAAUGUUAUUGGUUUUCAAAGCGAACAAAGGUGACCUCCUAUAAACGAGGAGAGUGCUUGAUUGAGUUGUUCAGACAACGCCGCGGGUCACCGCCCGAUGCUUGCAUCGGUGGUUAUGUAAAUUUGACAUCAGGAGUUUGCAAUCAAAACUGUUUGGAAUCAUUUUAUGUUAUAGCGCCCCAGGUGUGUUUGUAUUGUGUCUUUUUUAUUAUUUUAUUUUAUUAAUUGUGUAUACUUAUCUGGCGAUAAAUAUCUGUUUUUUUUGUUUACUCCCGACUCUGACUCUUUCACUCUGUUCGCUUGAGUACGGAAGACCAACCGGCUUGUAUACCCCAUCGAUUGACUUCGCGCCGACGAUGAACGGGUGACAGCUAUGACACUUAUGCAAGCAAGUAUAAUGCCAUGCAGCCUUAAGUGCAAACAAUGUAGGCUGUAGAGAAGCUUAACACAACCCAGCAUUAUUCGAAUAACCUGUGUAAUCCAAGCAAGGUCAUUUUUGCAGCAUAGAUGCUCCUCACAUCGAGUGCAAGAGCAGUUCAAAAUUGUUCGUUUGUUCAUCCUUACGUUUUGUAUAUUGACUUAUGAUUUAAUUGCUGUUUUUUAUUAUUUAUACAUGUAUUGUUGUUGUUCUUCCUAAUAUGUACAGCACUUAUUAAUGAUUAUAUCGACCCCCCCCCCCCC